UUUAGAGCAUUUCUUUGAGCU
ensembl:piRNA 21ur-11950 ncRNA